UUUAAUUGGAGAGUUUGAUCCUGGCUCAGAAUGAACGCUGGCGGCGUGCCUAACACAUGCAAGUCGCACGAGAACGUUUCAGCUUGCUGAAACUAGUAAAGUGGCGCACGGGUGAGUAACGCGUGGGUAAUCUACCUCCGAAUUGGGGAUAACAUUGCGAAAGCGAUGCUAAUACCGAAUAAUAUCUCAAUAACUUCGGUUUUUGAGAUCAAAGGUGGCCUCUCCAUGGAAGCUACUGUUUGGAGAUGAGCCCGCGUACCAUUAGCUUGUUGGUAGGGUAAUGGCCUACCAAGGC
rnacentral:rRNA from 1 species